rnacentral:lncRNA from 12 species
GGGGGGGGGGGGGGGGGGGGGGGGGGGGGGGGGGGGGGGGGGGGGGGGGGGGGGGGGGGGGGGGGGGGGGGGGGGAUGGCGGCCACCAUCAGCGGGUCAGUGGCCACGGUGGCCACUGGGCUCGGGGUCACUGCCUCAGUGGCCACGGUGGCCAUCUCAUCACAGGGGGCUGCUGUCACCGAUGUCACCGCUCCGGUGUCCGGGGCGUCCAUCGGGGCAGGUGCCACUGAUGUCACCAGGUCGGUGGCCGCAGCGGCCAUCAGGGUGGGGGUCACCGAUGUCACCGAGUCGAUGGCCACAGCAUCCUUCAGGGUGGGUGUCACCGGUGUCACCAGGACAGCGUCCACAACUUCCAUCUUGUCCAGCAGGCUGGGUGUCCCCAGUGUCACCGGGUCAGUGGCCGCGGCGUCCAGCUCUUGUGGUGGGCUUGCUGUCCCCGGGCUGGUGGCCACAGCGUCGGGCUCAUCUGGGGAGCCGGGUGACACCAGUGGCACUGGUGCCACCAGGUCAGUGGCCACAGUAUCCGCUUCAUCUGGUGGGCUCGUCGCCACUGGUGUCACCUGGCUGGUGGCCACAGCGUCCGGCUCAUCUGGGGGGCUGGGUGUCACCAAUGUCACAUCAGUGGCUGCAGGACCAGACGGGCCGGGUGCCACCUGGCUGGCGGCUGUGCUGUCCAUCAGGCUGGGUGUCACCACACCAGUGGCCACAGCAUCCAGCGGGGUUGGUGUCCCCGGUGUCACCAGAGCAGUGUCUGCAGUGUCCAGCUCAUCCAGCGGGGUUGGUGUCACUGGUGUCACCACGUCAGUGUCCAGCUCAUCCAGCGGGGUCGGUGUCACUGGUGCCACCACGUCAGUGUCCAGCUCAUCCAGCAGGGUCGGUGUCCCUGGUGCCACCACGUCUGUGGCCGCAGUGUCCAGCGGGGUUGGUGUCACCACGUCAGUGUCCAGCUCAUCCAGCAGGGUCGGUGUCACUGGUGCCACCACGUCCGUGGCCGCAGUGUCCGGCUCAUCAGGCGGGCUGGCUGUCACCGGGCUGGUGGCUGCAGCGUCCAUCUGGUCCAGUGGGGUUGGUGUCACUGGUGUCACCGGGUCAGUGACCACCGAGUCCAUCAGGCCGGGUGUCGCUGGUGUCACCACGUCAUCGGCCAUUCCAUCCAGGGGGGGUGGUGCCACCGAUGUCCCCAAGCCGGUGGCUGCGGCGUCCAGCUCGCUGUGGCCAUCAGCACUCCCCGCCGUGCCAGCGCCGAGCUCAAAGUCAUUGUCACCAUCGCUGUCACCUCCAGGGCCGUCCUGGGGCUCGCCAUUGCUGCCCCCCAGCUGGUGGCUCCGGGGGUCCUCAUUGUCACCAUCGCCGUCACCUCCAGGGCCGUCCUGGGGCUCGCCAUUGCUGCCCCCCAGCUGGUGGCUCCGGGGGUCCCCGGCACAGAGCGCGGGGGGCUGGGGGGCAGGGCAAGGUCCCUGUCCCAGCGCCGCUCCAGAACCUUCUGUCGCCGCCACCUCCUCGGGGGGCUCGGGCGGCGGCCACGCCCCGGUGACGGUGACAGAGGCGUCGCCAUCCAGCUCCGCGUCCCCUCCCGGCGGUGUCCCCAAGGACGCGGCGGGGUGACACGGGGAGCCGGGGGGGGGGGGGGGGGGGGGGGGGGGGGGGGGGGGGGGGGGGGGGGGGGGGGGGGGGGGGGGGGGGGGGGGG